rnacentral:rRNA from 1 species
AUCAGCCUUUUGGGCAUGAUUCUGUGGAGCGUGAGGAGUUAAACGCCUUCAUGCCUGCAUAUUCGUGUACUUUGGGUGUACUUGCCUGUGUGGUUAGUUAACAUCAAUUUUGGUUAUCAUAAAAUGGCUGGAGGAAUGUAGCUUCGAUCUCGUAUUGAAGUGUUAUAGCCUUCGGCAGAUGUGAUGAUCGGGAUUGAGGAUUGCAACGGAUACCCUUCGGGGCUACCUGUCUGGUCUCUGAUCGUUGCUCUGGUGCCGAAAGCGUGCUUACGGUUAUCAAAGUCGAUGGUCAACAGGUUAGAACGGGUUAAAUUCGUUAAGGAUGUUGACGUAAUGGCUUU